GACGAACGCUGGCGGCGUGCUUAACACAUGCAAGUCGAACGGUGAGGAGGAGCUUGCUCCUCCGAUCAGUGGCGAACGGGUGAGUAACACGUGAGUAACCUGCCCAGACCCUGGGAUAACAGUUGGAAACAGCUGCUAAUACCGGAUACGAGACGGAGAGGCAUCUCUACCGUCUGGAAAGAUUUAUCGGUCUGGGAUGGACUCGCGGCCUAUCAGCUUGUUGGUGAGGUAAAGGCUCACCAAGGCGACGACGGGUAGCCGGCCUGAGAGGGCGACCGGCCACACUGGGACUGAGACACGGCCCAGACUCCUACGGGAGGCAGCAGUGGGGAAUAUUGCACAAUGGGCGAAAGCCUGAUGCAGCGACGCCGCGUGAGGGAUGACGGCCU
rnacentral:rRNA from 1 species